UUCAGUACAAAUAAUAUGCUGGUGAGCUAAGGCCACACUAAAGGACAAAAAGACCCUGGGAAGCUUUAUAGGGAUAAAAUCUAGUACACAUCCAGGCGUUUAUAAGCUGAUGGCCCCAAGAAGCGAGACGAUGACGAUAAAGAGCCAGAAGAUGCAGCGUGGUAAACACAAGACUGUUUAAUUUGGGGCGAUAAACUGUGUGAAA
rnacentral:rRNA from 1 species